GAUGAACGCUGGCGGCGUGCCUAAUACAUGCAAGUCGAACGCACAGCGAAAGGUGCUUGCACCUUUCAAGUGAGUGGCGAACGGGUGAGUAACACGUGGAUAACCUACCUCAAGGUUGGGGAUAACAUUUGGAAACAGAUGCUAAUACCGAAUAAAACUUAGUAUCGCAUGAUACCAGGUUAAAAGGCGCUACGGCGUCACCUAGAGAUGGAUCCGCGGUGCAUUAGUUAGUUGGUGGGGUAAAGGCUUACCAAGACAAUGAUGCAUAGCCGAGUUGAGAGACUGAUCGGCCACAUUGGGACUGAGACACGGCCCAAACUCCUACGGGAGGCUGCAGUAGGGAAUCUUCCACAAUGGGCGAAAGCCUGAUGGAGCAACGCCGCGUGUGUGAUGAAGGCUUUUCGGGUCGGU
rnacentral:rRNA from 1 species